rnacentral:rRNA from 1 species
CCUACGGGAGGCAGCAGUGGGGAAUAUUGCACAAUGGGCGAAAGCCUGAUGCAGCGACGCCGCGUGAGGGAUGACGGCCUUCGGGUUGUAAACCUCUUUCAGCAGGGAAGAAGCGAAAGUGACGGUACCUGCAGAAGAAGCGCCGGCUAACUACGUGCCAGCAGCCGCGGUAAUACGUAGGGCGCAAGCGUUGUCCGGAAUUAUUGGGCGUAAAGAGCUCGUAGGCGGCUUGUCACGUCGGUUGUGAAAGCCCGGGGCUUAACCCCGGGUCUGCAGUCGAUACGGGCAGGCUAGAGUGUGGUAGGGGAGAUCGGAAUUCCUGGUGUAGCGGUGAAAUGCGCAGAUAUCAGGAGGAACACCGGUGGCGAAGGCGGAUCUCUGGGCCAUUACUGACGCUGAGGAGCGAAAGCGUGGGGAGCGAACAGGAUUAGAUACCCUGGUAGUCCACGCCGUAAACGGUGGGAACUAGGUGUUGGCGACAUUCCACGUCGUCGGUGCCGCAGCUAACGCAUUAAGUUCCCCGCCUGGGAGUACGGCCGCAAGGCUAAAACUCAAAUGAAUUGACGGCNGAGAGNGCGACGCGACACGAGGGAGAGG